rnacentral:misc_RNA from 1 species
UUUAUUUAUUUGUUUAUUUAUUUUUGUUCCUAAUUCUUUCUUUUCUUCAGGUUUGUGUAAUUGUUUAUGUAUUCUGAUUUUAUUUCGUAAUUUUUAUAUUCGGUGAAUGAUUGUUUUGAUACAAUGAUUGGUUUUCUUUCAAGGGUUUUAAUGGGGAUGUAGGCAUGGCUGUUUCUUUAUUUCCCUGAAUGAUCGAGUAUAUCUGCUUUUUUUUUUUUUGAAAUAAUUUUUUAAUCAUAUUUGUUUAUUGGCCACUGGGGCUGGUGGGUACCUGUGUGGGAUUUUCAAGGCUUCUACGGAAGGUGCCAUUUGACUUUGAAAUCAAUAAAAGAGGGUCUGUUCAUCAGACCAGGGGUUUUCGGUGGUAGUGGUGGUGACGAUCAUUGUUUUGAUACUUUAAGAGGAUUUUUUUUGUUGAUGGGCUAUGGUAGGAUUCAUGGGAUUUUGGUUCUAAUGGAAACAAGAUUGGAGUCUGUUAUGGUUUCCUUUCAUUGGGUUUGAAUGAUUUAGUCAUUCUGAUGGACUCAAAGUUCGAAUCUUUGGUGCUAAUUUGUUAAUGCGAUGGGAGAUAUUUACUUCCUUGAGUUUUGGAAGGUCCUUUCUUGAAUUUGAGGCUUCUUCUUCUAUUCAUCUGAGGAGACAAAGGUUGGCUGAGGAGUAUUUUUGCUUAUAGCAAUUUGUUCUAGGGUUUCAUUACUGGGAUAAAGAAGCGACAAGGUGAAAUAAAUGGAAGAAGAAAAUAG